rnacentral:rRNA from 1 species
AUGGGGAUAAGGCUCCAAGAGCUGCUGUUUCAGUCACAUAAGGAUCCGAUCAAAACAUUUGUCAAAAAUCUGAUCCAAACGACUAUUGAUAUCUUCCAUGUUUUCAUUGGAGGAGGAUGGUGUGGUGAGCUGGUUCAUGGAAGGAUUUCUUUUUGGUCAGAAUUUCCGCGGUACGGAGUGUGGCCCGCCAUUCUUUUCAAGCUUUGCUUAAAAAAUUACUGGUCGCGGUGUGGUUCAUCGAGUGGAGAUCGAGACCUCCUGAAGAAACAACCAGAGAAAAAGAGAGGGAGCUGUGAGAGGCAGCACCAAGGUAGAAGAACAAGAGCGGCGCUGCGAGGAGGCGGCGCCAACAAUUGGCAUCAGAGCCUUGUCGAUCCAAGGCGGUGGUGGCGCCGCGGCGGACUCCGUGUGAGGUGGAGGUCGGCGACGCAAGGUGGACGCUGUUGGCAGCGCGAUGCUGCUUGCGGCCGGUGCGUGUCUCCAUCAUCGUUGAGCUGCGUCACGAGCGAUGGAGAAAGAUAUGUUGCCCGGUCAUCAUCCACGUCCGAGUCGUCGACAAGGUGCGUCAUCGACGGCAACGUGGAGGUGGGUCACCGGCGAGUUGCGGCACCGGUGAUGAACAUGUGCGGGUCGUCGACAAGGUGCGUCAUCAACGACAACAUCGAGCUGAGCCACCGGCAAGUUGCGGCAUCGGUGAAGAACAUGUGGCAGCAAGCGAGCAAUGGCGGCACUCGCGGCGAAGGCAUAGGAGGUGCGCCUCUCGUGGAGGCCAGCGGCGACGGCGGUAAUCGGCGUGACAAGAUCGCAUUGGCAGCCAUCUCCGUGUUGCAACGACGACAUCGACGACGUACAAGCUGCGGCAGGGUGUGCACGUUAAGUUGUGAUCACGUGCACCAUGCAAAGCUGAUCGGUAGAGCUAGUAUUCUCACUACCAGAAUCGUGAUUAAGCCUGUGAGCCAACAUAUAUUCCCGUCGGCCCCGCGUAGACUCCCAGGAAAAUGUCAUUUUACUGUGGGCCAGACACUGACCGACAGGUUUUUUCACCAUAUUCCUGUAGGUUCUGAGCAGGCGCACAGGAAAAGUAUAUCCCUGUGCGUCGCGGCCCACAGGAAUCGCAUUCGGCCCUUCGCGCCCGCGGGCUGCCGCUUCGCGCCAUCGGAGUUAGGCCCAAUACAAAAGGAGAGGGCAAACACAUACAGCCUCCAUCCCCAAUUCAGUCGUAGUCUCCAGAAUCCUCUCGAUCCCCAAUCCAGUCCUGCGCUUCACCGCCGCCGCCACCAUCGUCCGGUCCACAGCCGGAGCCGCCGCCACACCAUCCUCCGGUCCACCGCCGCCGCCGCCACACCACCCUCCGGUCCACCGCCACCGCCGCCACACCAUCCUCCGGUCCACCGCCGCCGCCGCCACACCAUCCGCAGGUCCACCGCCGUGGCAGCAGCUACACCAUCCUCCCAUCUACCGUCGCGGCUGCCUCCCCUCCCUGCGGAAGGCCUUCCUUCCGCCUGCAUCUUCCUCACCACUUGCGUAGUGCCGGUCUCUGCCUCGCCACCCGCCGGAGCACCAGCAUCUGCCCCCCACCAAGCUCCCGUACUUGUCCCCCCAUUCAGAUUUACACGUCUUCACCUCCGGCUGCCUGUACUCCUCUACUCGCUGCCUCACAAGUCCCCAUUCUCCAUAUCUCUGAACCGUGAUUGGAUGUAUAGUGGAUGGGUGUUUGGUCAAGUCCCUUCUAAUAUAUGGCUUGAAGAAACUGCACGAUUUAUAGACCGGGCCUUCUCUUCUGUAGCUGAAGGUGAACAUGGUGAGAGUUUUGUAGCUGCUGCUGAUGGAUCUGUCCCUUUAGUACAUCAAGAGGGCUGUAAUGCAACUGAUCGAAUGGACAAUAUGUUGGUUGACUUAGGUGGUAGCCAUCUUCCACCGGUUACUGAGGAGCCAACCUCCUCUGCCAAGGCUUUUUAUAGGAUGGUCAGUAGUGCCGAUGAAUUGGUACAUGAGAACACAAAACACUCACGUCUUUCUGCUGUAGCUCGUUUGUUGGCUAUGAAAUCACAAUACAACAUGUCCAUUGCACAUUUUGAUGAUACCUUAAAAAUAAUCCAUGAACUUUUGCCUCCUGAAUCUAAUUUGUCCGAAGACUUCUACCAAUCCAAGAAACUCUUAGAAGAUAGAUUGCAAAGGCGUGCUAAUGAAGAAAAUGCAGAACUCAGGCGUGCUAAGGAGAUGCUACAGCAGAAAGUAGAUAUGCAUGGACAGCUCAUAACUGCACUUUUCAAGGAGAUAGGAAAAGAGUUGCCAGCGCAUAUACUACAUAUACUAAGCCAUGGAGCUGUUUCGCAACCACAAGGGACAAAUAACUCGUCUCAAGCCGGCUCACAAGCGGUUGAUGUCAACAAUGAUGUCAUGGAGUCGAGCGAGGAGAACGACACCACUGGGAAUGUCGAGAAACAACCAGAGAAAGAGAGAGGGAGCUGUGAGAGGCAGCACCAAGGUAGAAGAACAAGAGCGGCGCUGCGAGGAGGCGGCGCCAACAAGUGCCACCACUGCUCUGUUAUCAAAGCCUGGAUGUGCUUUUUUCAAGAAGAUGCAAGAGCAUUGCAUCCAGAUGAAUCACAGUGUGGCGGCGAUGAUGGUAUUCAUCAUCUUCCGAUGCCCAGCCGGCGCUGCAACAGAUUGAAGUCUCAGCGGCAGCAAUAUAUGGUACCACACCUCACGCGCAAAGGGGCAGCCAAGGAACAUGUGUGUGAUAUUCUCGUCGACCAGGCAGCAGAGUUGGCAUUGUUGAAUGGUUGUAAGGUUCCGGCGUGGCAACCUGUCGGCCGCCCAAAGUCUUCGACGCACCGCCAACCAUGUAAAAAAUUUGAUCUCAAGGGGAGCCCAAUGGCCUCCAAAUUUCUUGGGCGCAUCGGGUGA